rnacentral:rRNA from 1 species
UACGUAGGGUCCUAGCGUUAUCCGGAUUCACUGGGUUUAAAGGGUGCGUAGGUGGGUUGGUAAGUCAGUGGUGAAAUCUCCGAGCUUAACUUGGAAACUGCCAUUGAUACUAUCAAUCUUGAAUAUUGUGGAGGUCAGCGGAAUAUGUCAUGUAGCGGUGAAAUGCUUAGAUAUGACAUAGAACACCAAUUGCGAAGGCAGCUGGCUACACAAAUAUUGACACUGAGGCACGAAAGCGUGGGGAUCAAACAGG